rnacentral:rRNA from 1 species
UACAGAGGUCUCAACCGUUGUUCGGAUUUACUGGGCGUAAAGGGCGCGUAGGCGGACAGUUUAGUCAGAGGUGAAAGCCCAGGGCUCAACCUUGGAAUUGCCUUUGAUACUGGCUGUCUUGAGUACGGGAGAGGUGAGUGGAACUCCGAGUGUAGAGGUGAAAUUCGUAGAUAUUCGGAAGAACACCAGUGGCGAAGGCGACUCACUGGCCCGUUACUGACGCUGAGGCGCGAAAGCGUGGGGAGCAAACAGG